GAUGAACGCUGGCGGCGUGCCUAAUACAUGCAAGUCGAGCGAACAGACGAGGAGCUUGCUCCUCUGACGUUAGCGGCGGACGGGUGAGUAACACGUGGAUAACCUACCUAUAAGACUGGGAUAACUUCGGGAAACCGGAGCUAAUACCGGAUAAUAUAUUGAACCGCAUGGUUCAAUAGUGAAAGACGGUUUUGCUGUCACUUAUAGAUGGAUCCGCGCCGCAUUAGCUAGUUGGUAAGGUAACGGCUUACCAAGGCAACGAUGCGUAGCCGACCUGAGAGGGUGAUCGGCCACACUGGAACUGAGACACGGUCCAGACUCCUACGGGAGGCAGCAGUAGGGAAUCUUCCGCAAUGGGCGAAAGCCUGACGGAGCAACGCCGCGUGAGUGAUGAAGGUCUUCGGAUCGUAAAACUCUGUUAUUAGGGAAGAACAUAUGUGUAAGUAACUAUGCACGUCUUGACGGUACCUGAUCAGAAAGCCACGGCUAACUACGUG
rnacentral:rRNA from 1 species